rnacentral:rRNA from 1 species
GAUGAACGCUGGCGGCGUGCCUAAUACAUGCAAGUCGAGCGAACGGACGAGAAGCUUGCUUCUCUGAUGUUAGCGGCGGACGGGUGAGUAACACGUGGAUAACCUACCUAUAAGACUGGGAUAACUUCGGGAAACCGGAGCUAAUACCGGAUAAUAUUUUGAACCGCAUGGUUCAAAAGUGAAAGACGGUCUUGCUGUCACUUAUAGAUGGAUCCGCGCUGCAUUAGCUAGUUGGUAAGGUAACGGCUUACCAAGGCAACGAUGCAUAGCCGACCUGAGGGGGCGAUCGGCCACACUGGAACUGAGACACGGUCCAGACUCCUACGGGAGGCAGCAGUAGGGAAUCUUCCGCAAUGGGCGAAAGCCUGACGGAGCAACGCCGCGUGGGUGAUGAAGGUCUUCGGAUCGUAAAACUCUGUUAUUAGGGAAGAACAUAUGUGUAAGUAACUGUGCACAUCUUGACGGUACCUAAUCAGAAAGCCACGGCUAACUACGUG